rnacentral:rRNA from 1 species
UUUAUGGAGAGUUUGAUCCUGGCUCAGGAUGAACGCUGGCGGCGUGCCUAAUACAUGCAAGUCGAGCGAACUGACGAGGAGCUUGCUCCUUUGACGUUAGCGGCGGACGGGUGAGUAACACGUGGGUAACCUACCUAUAAGACUGGAAUAACUCCGGGAAACCGGGGCUAAUGCCGGAUAACAUAUCGAACCGCAUGGUUCGAUAGUGAAAGACGGUCUUGCUGUCACUUAUAGAUGGACCCGCGCCGUAUUAGCUAGUUGGUGAGGUAACGGCUCACCAAGGCAACGAUACGUAGCCGACCUGAGAGGGUGAUCGGCCACACUGGAACUGAGACACGGUCCAGACUCCUACGGGAGGCAGCAGUAGGGAA